rfam:Triticum aestivum genome assembly, contig: Triticum_aestivum_CS42_TGACv1_scaffold_404215_5BL
UACAUAUUCCCUCCGUCUGGAAUUACUUGUCGUAUAAAUGGAUAAAACUGAAGGUAUCUAAAACUAAAAUACGUCUAGAUACAUCCAUUUCUCCGACAAGUAUUUCCGGGCGGAGGGAGUAUAAA